rnacentral:ncRNA from 1 species
UAAAGGGUUAGUCUUACCCUUAAAAUUAGAUCCUUCGAAAUUUAUACAUGCAAAUUUCCUCAUUACAGUGAGUUCCUUGAUUUUUAAAAUGAUAGAGACUAAAUAAGAUUAAUUAUCCUAAAUUAAAAUUCUUUCACGCCCCCAAGGGUAUUCAGCAGUAAUUAAUAUUGAGCAAUAGACAAAAGUCUGACUCAAUUAAAGAAUUCUUAAGUGUCCAAAAUCGUGCCAGCAGACGCGGCUAUACGGUUGCUUAAAUCUAAUAUUUGACGGUGUAAAGAGUAAAUUUCAUUACUAUUCUUAUCUAAAAUUAAACCAAUUUAUAAUAGUUAAAUACAUAAAUUUUAAAAAACAAACUAAAGUAGUUUUAAUAACUAAGUUUAUAACUUUACGAAAGUUGGGGCUCAAACUAGGAUCAGAUACCCUACUAUGCCUAACCGUAAACAAAGAAUUUCUUCCGCCUGAAUACUACGAGCCCAAGCUUAAAAUUCAAAAGACUUGACGGUGUUCUACCCGCCUAGAGGAGUUCGUUUUUCAAACGAUAAUCCGCGAUUCACCUCACCAUUUUUAUCAGUUUAUAUACCGCCGUCGCAAGCCAGCCCUUCUGAGGGAUCAGGCAAAAUGGUCUAAACCAAAACGUCAGGUUAGGUGUAACCAAUAAAAUGGCUAAAACGAACUACAUUAAUAAUUUCUAUUAUUUCUAUUAAACAAAUGAAAAAUUAGUCAAAAUUGAAUUUAGGAGUAAACAAAAACCAGACAGUUUUUUUGAACAGUGCUAUAGAACACGCACACACCGCCCGUCACUCCCUAUUACUUAGGGAUAAGUCGUAACAUGGUAAGUGUACCAGAAGGUGCACUUGGACCC